AUACUAUUUAUAGUACCGGAGCCUAUAUAUAUAUAUAUAUAUAGCUAGUCUCCUAUACUAUUUAUAGUACCGGGGCUCCGGUACUAUAGUCCAGUUUUCUAUCUUAGGAUAUUCAAAUCAAUGAUCCACACCGUUAAAACUGAUCUAGGGUAUUUAAAGUUUUUAGAAAUAAAAUUUUAUAUUUUUCGACAUAGUUUACUUUAUGAUCAAACUAUUUCAAAAUUGUCAAUUUUUAAUGACUACUAUGGCGAGUUUGGAGUUUGACGGUGUAGAAGAAUAAAAAUUUCUUCAAAUUUUGAUAGAAAAUACUUUAAACUAUCUAAAUUAAGGUUGACAUUCUUGAUCUUGAAUUUAAAAGUCUUUUGUUCAAAUUUUAAAGAUUAUUCAAUUUUCACCAUCUAUUUUGACAUAAUUUAGUUACUAAGUAAACGAUGUCGAAAAAAAUUAAAAUUUUAUUCCUAAGAACUUCAUAUAUCCUAGAUAAUAUUUAACGGUGUGGAUCGUUAAUUUGAACACUCUAAGAUCGAAAACAACACUAUAGUACCGAAUCUCCGGUACUAUAGAUAGUAUAGUAAUCUAAUUCUAUAUAUAUAUAUAGAGUUGGACUGGGCUACUAUUAGUAGCAAAAUUUCAUUGUUGCUAUCAGUUUUUUAGCCUUUGGAUCAACUUUUUUCCUUAUUUCUAAUCAUUGGAUUAAAUACUAUAAUCUAGUGGGGACCACUCAACCCUAGGAGGACCACUCAACUCUAACCGACUAAUAUCAUCCUAACCCUAUAAUUUUUCAUCCAAGGGUUAAAAACUUGAUAGCAAAAAGAGCGUUUUACUAUUAAUAGUAUUCUAACCUAAUUUUAUUUCUAAUCAUUGGAUUAAAUACUAUAAUCCAGUGGGGACCACUCAACCUUAGGGGGACCACUCAACUCUAACCGACUAAUAUCAUCCUAACCCUAUAAUUUUUCAUCCAAGGGUUAAAAACUUGAUAGCAAAAAGAGCGUUUUACUAUUAAUAGUAUUCUAACCUAAUUCAUAUAGAGUUGGACUAGACUACUAUUAGUAGCAAAAUUUCAUUGUUGCUACCAGUUGUUUAGCCUUUGGGUCAACUUUUUUCAUUAUUUCUAACCAUUGGAUUAAAUACUAUAAUCCAGUGGGGACCACUCAACUCUAACCGACUAAUAUCAUCCUGACCCUACAAUUUUACAUCCAAGGGUUAAAAACUUGAUAGCAAAAAGAGCGUUUUACUAUUAAUAGUAUUCCAGCCUAAUUCUAUAUAUAUAUAUAUAUAUAUAUAGAGCUAGGCUACUAUACUAUCGGUAGCACGGAGCGCUCCGUGCUACCAAGUUGUUUUCGAUGAUGUGGCUUCCAAAUCGACGAUCGGCUCCGUUAGAGUUAAUCUACAUUAUUGAAAGUAUUUAGAAACUAAAAUUUAUAAUUUUUCGAUAUCAUUUACCUAUCAAACAAGUAGUCUAAAAUUGAACGGCUGAAAAUAAAAAUCUCAUAAAAAAUGAUGAUAAAAGAUUUAAAUUCAAGAUCAGAUAUACUGAUCUUACUCUAAAUAGUGAAAAGAAUUUUCUAUAAAAUUUUCAUCGCAUUUGGAUUGUUUUACACCGUUAAACUCACAAACACACCACAUCGGCCAUUAAAAUUGUCAAUUUUGAGAUCUUUUGAUCACUAGUCAAAUGAUGUCGAAAAAAUUUGAAAUUUAGUUUCCAAAUACUUUCAAUAGUGUAGAUCAAGUCUAACGGAGCCGAUCGUCGAUUUGGAAGCCGCAUCAUCGAAAACAACUUGGUAGCACGGAGCGCUCCGUGCUACCGAUAGCAUAGUAGCCGGACUCUAUAUAUAUAUAUAUAUAUAUAUAUAUAUAUAUAGAAUUGAGCUCCUAUGCUUUUAAAAGUAUCAAGGCAUUGGUGCUUGUAGAUUUUUAGCCAUUGGAUUAAGAAAUAUGCGGUUAGGAUGAUGUGGGCCGCUUAGGGUUGAAUGGGUGGUUGAUUGAAUAGUAUAAUCUAAUGGUUGAAAAUGAUCCGUGGAGUAAAUCUCACGGUAAAAAACUAGGCUAAUAUAUAACUAGGAUAAUAUAUAUUAAUAGCACCAAGUUAUUGGUGCUACUAAGUUUUUGGCCAUUGCAUUAAGUGAUGUGCGGUUAGGAUGAUGUGGGCCCCCUAGGAUUGAGUCGGUUGGGUGGUUAGUUAAAUAGUAUAAUCUAACUGGUGAACAUGAUCAAAAGGGUAGAUUUAACGACGGAAAACUCGGUAGCACCAAGUGCUCCGUGCUAUUAAUAGCAUAGUAGCCGGACUCUAUAUAUAUAUAUAUAUAUAUAGUCUAUCUACUAUCCUAUUAAUAUGAUUGAGGACAUUGUCCUAUCAAGUCGUUUUGAAUGAUCGGAACUUCAAAUUGAUAAUCGGCACCGUUGAAAUUGAUCUACACAAUUAGAAAGGUUUAGAAACCAAAUUUUAUAAUAUUUAAAAAUUAUUACGAAGUUCAUUGAGGAGUUGAAAAAUGAACGGUCAUAAAUGAAUAACUUUCUUAAAAUAGAAGUUUGACUUUCUCAAUUCAUAAUCAGAGUUAUCAAACAUUAUCUAAAUAGUAUAAAGAAUUUUCUAUCGAAAAUUCAAGCAAUUUGGAUUGCUCUACACUGUUAAACAAGCAAACGGCUCAUAUAGGCCGUCAAAAAUUGUCGAUUUUACGACACUUAAUUUGAUCACCAUGUAAAUAAUUUUUAAAAUUUAUGAAAUUUAGUUUCUAGAUAUUUCAAAUACUCUAGAUCAACUUCAACGGCUCCGAUCAUCGAUUCAAAAUCUCUAUCAUCAAGAACAACUUGAUAGGAUAAGUUCUACUAUUCUUUUAAGAGGAUAGUAGCUCCGGCCU
rnacentral:lncRNA from 1 species